rnacentral:rRNA from 1 species
AAUACAUAGUGUCAUGAGGCGAACCGGGGGAACUGAAACAUCUCAGUACCCCGAGGAAAAGAAAUCAACCGAGAUUCCCCCAGUAGCGGCGAGCGAACGGGGAGGAGCCCAGAACCUGAAUCAGUUUGUGUGUUAGUGGAAGCGUCUGGAAAGUCGCACAGUAAAGGGUGAUAGUCCCGUACACAAAAAUGCACAAGUUGUGAGUUCGAUGAGUAGGGCGGGACACGUGACAUCCUGUCUGAAUAUGGGGGGACCAUCCUCCAAGGCUAAAUACUCCUGACUGACCGAUAGUGAACCAGUACCGUGAGGGAAAGGCGAAAAGAACCCCGGCGAGGGGAGUGAAAUAGAACCUGAAACCGUGUACGUACAAGCAGUGGGAGCCUACUAGUUAGGUGACUGCGUACCUUUUGUAUAAUGGGUCAGCGACUUAUAUUCUGUAGCAAGGUUAACCGUAUAGGGGAGCCGCAGGGAAACCGAGUCUUAACUGGGCGUUAAGUUGCAGGGUAUAGACCCGAAACCCGGUGAUCUAGCCAUGGGCAGGUUGAAGGUUGGGUAACACUAACUGGAGGACCGAACCGACUAAUGUUGAAAAAUUAGCGGAUGACUUGUGGCUGGGGGUGAAAGGCCAAUCAAACCGGGAGAUAGCUGGUUCUCCCCGAAAGCUAUUUAGGUAGCGCCUCGUGAAUUCAUCUUCGGGGGUAGAGCACUGUUUCGGCUAGGGGGUCAUCCCGACUUACCAACCCGAUGCAAACUACGAAUACCGAAGAAUGUUAUCACGGGAGACACCCGGCGGGUGCUAACGUUCGUCGUGAAGAAGGGAAACAACCCAGACCGCCAGCUAAGGUCCCAAAGUCAUGGUUAAGUGGAAACGAUGUGGAAGGCACAGACAGCCAGGAUGUUGGCUUAGAAGCAGCCAUCAUUUAAAGAAAGCGUAAUAGCUCACUGGUCGAGUCGGCCUGCGCGGAAGAUGUAACGGGGCUAAACCAUGCACCGAAGCUGCGGCAGCGACACUUAGGUGUUGUUGGGUAGGGGAGCGUUCUGUAAGCCUGCGAAGGUGGCCUGUGAGGGCUGCUGGAGGUAUCAGAAGUGCGAAUGCUGACAUAAGUAACGAUAAUGCGGGUGAAAAACCCGCACGCCGGAAGACCAAGGGUUCCUGUCCAACGUUAAUCGGGGCAGGGUGAGUCGACCCCUAAGGCGAGGCUGAAAAGCGUAGUCGAUGGGAAACAGGUUAAUAUUCCUGUACUGGGUGUUACUGCGAAGGGGGGACGGAGAAAGCUAGGUUAUCCGGGCGACGGUUGUCCCGGUUUAAGCGUGAAGGUGGGUGACUUUGGUAAAUCCGGGUCAUCGUUAACACUGAGGCGUGAUGACGAGUCACUACGGUGAUGAAGUAACUGAUGCUACGCUUCCAGGAAAAGCCUCUAAGCUCCAGGUAACACCGAAUCGUACCCCAAACCGACACAGGUGGUCAGGUAGAGAAUACUCAGGCGCUUGAGAGAACUCGGGUGAAGGAACUAGGCAAAAUGGUGCCGUAACUUCGGGAGAAGGCACGCUGAUGGUAAGUGAAGUGACGUGCUCAUGGAGCUGAAAUCAGUCGAAGAUACCAGCUGGCUGCAACUGUUUAAUAAAAACACAGCACUGUGCAAACACGAAAGUGGACGUAUACGGUGUGACGCCUGCCCGGUGCCGGAAGGUUAAUUGAUGGGGUCAGCCGCAAGGCGAAGCUCUUGAUCGAAGCCCCGGUAAACGGCGGCCGUAACUAUAACGGUCCUAAGGUAGCGAAAUUCCUUGUCGGGUAAGUUCCGACCUGCACGAAUGGCGUAAUGAUGGCCCAGGCUGUCUCCACCCGAGACUCAGUGAAAUUGAACUCGCUGUGAAGAUGCAGUGUACCCGCGGCAAGACGGAAAGACCCCGUGACCCUUUACUAUAGCUUGACACUGACCCUUGAGCCUUGAUGUGUAGGAUAGGUGGGAGGCUUUGAAGCGUGGACGCCAGUCUGCGUGGAGCCACCCUUGAAAUACCACCCUUUAAUGUUUGAUGUUCUAACGUGGACCCGUAAUCCGGGUUGCGGACAGUGUCUGGUGGGUAGUUUGACUGGGGCGGUCUCCUCCCAAAGCGUAACGGAGGAGCACGAAGGUUAGCUAAUCCUGGUCGGACAUCAGGAGGUUAGUGCAAAGGCAUAAGCUAGCUUGACUGCGAGAGUGACAGCUCGAGCAGGUGCGAAAGCAGGUCUUAGUGAUCCGGUGGUUCUGAAUGGAAGGGCCAUCGCUCAACGGAUAAAAGGUACUCCGGGGAUAACAGGCUGAUACCGCCCAAGAGUUCAUAUCGACGGCGGUGUUUGGCACCUCGAUGUCGGCUCAUCACAUCCUGGGGCUGAAGUAGGUCCCAAGGGUAUGGCUGUUCGCCAUUUAAAGUGGUACGCGAGCUGGGUUUAGAACGUCGUGAGACAGUUCGGUCCCUAUCUGCCGUGGGCGUUGGAAGAUUGAGAGGGGUUGCUCCUAGUACGAGAGGACCGGAGUGAACGCACCACUGGUGUACGGGUUGUGAUGCCAAUUGCAUG